UACGUAGGGUGCAAGCGUUGUCCGGAAUUAUUGGGCGUAAAGAGCUCGUAGGCGGUUUGUCGCGUCUGCUGUGAAAUCCCGAGGCUCAACCUCGGGCCUGCAGUGGGUACGGGCAGACUGGAGUGCGGUAGGGGAGACUGGAAUUCCUGGUGUAGCGGUGAAAUGCGCAGAUAUCAGGAGGAACACCGGUGGCGAAGGCGGGUCUCUGGGCCGAUACUGACGCUGAGGAGCGAAAGCGUGGGGAGCAAACAGG
rnacentral:rRNA from 1 species